GGAAUGUGGCUUAGUGGUAGAGUGCUUGCCUAGCAUGCAUGAAGCCCUGGGUUCGAUUCCUCAGCACCA
rnacentral:tRNA from 1 species